CCUACGGGAGGCUGCAGUGGGGAAUAUUGCACAAUGGGCGCAAGCCUGAUGCAGCCAUGCCGCGUGUGUGAAGAAGGCCUUCGGGUUGUAAAGCACUUUCAGCGGGGAGGAAGGCGGUGAGGUUAAUAACCUCAUCGAUUGACGUUACCCGCAGAAGAAGCACCGGCUAACUCCGUGCCAGCAGUCGCGGUAAUACGGAGGGUGCAAGCGUUAAUCGGAAUUACUGGGCGUAAAGCGCACGCAGGCGGUCUGUCAAGUCGGAUGAGAAAUCCCCGGGCUCAACCUGGGAACUGCAUUCGAAACUGGCAGGCUAGAGUCUUGUAGAGGGGGGUAGAAUUCCAGGUGUAGCGGUGAAAUGCGUAGAGAUCUGGAGGAAUACCGGUGGCGAAGGCGGCCCCCUGGACAAAGACUGACGCUCAGGUGCGAAAGCGUGGGGAGCAAACAGGAUUAGAUACCCCGGUAGUC
rnacentral:rRNA from 1 species